rnacentral:rRNA from 1 species
GACAGAGGUCCCGAGCGUUAGGCGGAAUCACUGGGCUUAAAGCGUGUGUAGGCGGAUGCCUAAGUACCUUGUGAAAUCCCACGGCUUAACCGUGGAACUGCUUGGUAUACUGGGUGUCUUGAGCCACUUAGGGGCGAGCGGAACAAACGGUGGAGCGGUGAAAUGCGUAGAUAUCGUUUGGAACGCCAAUGGUGAAAACAGCUCGCUGGGAGUGCGCUGACGCUGAGACACGAAAGCCAGGGAGCGGAACGGGG